rnacentral:rRNA from 1 species
GCUAAUACCGCAUACGUCCUACGGGAGAAAGCAGGGGACCUUCGGGCCUUGCGCUAAUAGAUGAGCCUAAGUCGGAUUAGCUAGUUGGUAGGGUAAAGGCCUACCAAGGCGACGAUCUGUAGCGGGUCUGAGAGGAUGAUCCGCCACACUGGGACUGAGACACGGCCCAGACUCCUACGGGAGGCAGCAGUGGGGAAUAUUGGACAAUGGGGGGAACCCUGAUCCAGCCAUGCCGCGUGUGUGAAGAAGGCCUUUUGGUUGUAAAGCACUUUAAGCGAGGAGGAGGCUACCUAGAUUAAUACUUUAGGAUAGUGGACGUUACUCGCAGAAUAAGCACCGGCUAACUCUGUGCCAGCAGCCGCGGUAAUACAGAGGGUGCGAGCGUUAAUCGGAUUUACUGGGCGUAAAGCGUGCGUAGGCGGCCAAUUAAGUCAAAUGUGAAAUCCCCGAGCUUAACUUGGGAAUUGCAUUC